rnacentral:rRNA from 1 species
AGGAUGAACGCUAGCGGCAGGCUUAAUACAUGCAAGUCGUGGGGCAGUAUGAGUAGCAAUACUUGAUGGCGACCGGCAAACGGGUGAGGAACACGUACACAACCUUCCUUCAAGCGGGGAAUAGCCCAGAGAAAUUUGGAUUAAUACCCCAUAAUAUAUUUGAUAAGGCAUCUUAUUAAUAUUAAAGCUUCGGCACUUGAUGAUGGGUGUGCGGCUGAUUAGAUAGUUGGCGGGGUAACGGCCCACCAAGUCUACGAUCAGUAGCUGAUGUGAGAGCAUGAUCAGCCACACGGGCACUGAGACACGGGCCCGACUCCUACGGGAGGCAGCAGUAAGGAAUAUUGGACAAUGGACGAAAGUCUGAUCCAGCCAUGCCGCGUGAAGGAUUAAGGUCCUCUGGAUUGUAAACUUCUUUUAUAUGGGACGAAAAAAGGGCAUUCUUGUUCACUUGACGGUACCAUAUGAAUAAGCACCGGCUAACUCCGUG